rnacentral:rRNA from 1 species
CUUGCUUCUUUGCUGGUGACCGGCGCACGGGUGAGUAACACGUAUCCAACCUGCCUUUACUCGGGGAUAGCCUUUCGAAAGAAAGAUUAAUACCCGAUAGUAUAAUGAUUCCGCAUGGUUUCAUUAUUAAAGGAUUCCGGUAAAGGAUGGGGAUGCGUUCCAUUAGGUUGUUGGUGAGGUAACGGCUCACCAAGCCUUCGAUGGAUAGGGGUUCUGAGAGGAAGGUCCCCCACAUUGGAACUGAGACACGGUCCAAACUCCUUACGGGAGGCAGCAUG